rnacentral:rRNA from 1 species
UACGUAGGGUGCAAGCGUUAAUCGGAAUUACUGGGCGUAAAGCGUGCGUAGACGGUUAUUUAAGUCAGGUGUGGAAGCCCCGGGCUCAACCUGGGAACUGCAUUUGUGACUGCAAGGCUGGAGUACGGCAGAGGGGGAUGGAAUUCCGCGUGUAGCAGUGAAAUGCGUAGAUAUGCGGAGGAACACCGAUGGCGAAGGCAAUCCCCUGGGCCUGUACUGACGCUCAUGCACGAAAGCGUGGGGAGCAAACAGG